UUUAUGGAGAGUUUGAUCCUGGCUCAGGACGAACGCUGGCGGCGUGCCUAAUACAUGCAAGUCGAGCGAACAGAAAAGGAGCUUGCUCCUUUGACGUUAGCGGCGGACGGGUGAGUAACACGUGGGCAACCUACCUUAUAGUUUGGGAUAACUCCGGGAAACCGGGGCUAAUACCGAAUAAUCUAUUUCACUUCAUGGUGAAAUACUGAAAGACGGUUUCGGCUGUCGCUAUAAGAUGGGCCCGCGGCGCAUUAGCUAGUUGGUGAGGUAACGGCUCACCAAGGCGACGAUGCGUAGCCGACCUGAGAGGGUGAUCGGCCACACUGGGACUGAGACACGGCCCAGACUCCUACGGGAGGCAGCAGUAGGGAAUCUUCCACAAUGGGCGAAAGCCUGAUGGAGCAACGCCGCGUGAGUGAAGAAGGUUUUC
rnacentral:rRNA from 1 species